rnacentral:lncRNA from 1 species
GGAAAACUUGGGGGAGAAUGGGCAUCCCACCCCAGCACUUUCUAGGAAGAAGGGCAGCAUUUUGAAGGGCUGGAAGUAGAGGAAGGAGGUUGCGGGUAGAAGACUCCAUACUUUCUGUGACGCCUAUUCCUUAGCUUGUGAUGAAUGUUUUCUCAGUAUCCUAUGCUGAAAACAGGUAGAUACUAAUAUCGAUCUUCAAGGGAGGGCUGUUGAGUAUUGAAUAAGACAAAAACAUGGAAGCAAUCAGCACCAUGCUGGAAUCAAGGCUAUCUGUAAUCACAGGGCUAUUUGAAAAAGAGAAGAAAAGGUGUCUUGAAAUUCAACCAACAUGUUUCAAUUAUUUGCUCCUAAGAACAACAGAAGUUUCAACAUUCUGCCAACAGAGUAACUCCUGGAAGAUUGGCACAGAAGAAGGCACAAGGUAAAUACCCAUCUCUGUACACCCCGUGCUACCAUGUCAUGUGCUGCUCCAGGCAACUCCAAUGGAUUGGCCACCCUGGCCAAUGUGUUCUAGUAUGUUACGUUUAUGUUCCCCUGCUUUCUACAAUCCUGUUCAAAGAGUUGCUGACUUAACCACAGAGAGGAUUCCAGAACCUGAGACACAGAAUAAACUUGAGCAAUCAUAGUCCAUCCACUUCAUUGUCUCAUCAAAAACCAAAGGUCCAGUGAAGCUCUGGAACUCAACGCUGUAAAGGAGCGAAGGAGCUUCUAUACAGAGCCUGGAUGCCUGUCUCCUUAUCCUACUUCAGUGGACUUGACUGCAAUCCGG